UACGUAGGGAGCAAGCGUUGUCCGGAAUCAUUGGGCGUAAAGCGCGCGUAGGUGGCCCCGUAAGUCCGCUGUGAAAGUCAAAGGCUCAACCUUUGAAAGCCGGUGGAUACUGUGGGGCUAGAGUACGGAAGAGGCGAGUGGAAUUCCUGGUGUAGCGGUGGAAUGCGCAGAUAUCAGGAGGAACACCAUAGCGAAGGCAGCUCGCUGGGACGUUACUGACACUGAGGCGACGAAAGCGUGGGGAGCGAACAGG
rnacentral:rRNA from 1 species